UACAGAGGUGGCAAGCGUUGUUCGGAAUUACUGGGCGUAAAGGGCGCGUAGGCGGUUCCGUAAGUCCCGCGUGAAAUCCCCCGGCUCAACUGGGGAACGGCGCGGGAAACUUCGGGGCUUUGAGUUCGGGAGAGGGAAGCGGAAUUCCGGGUGUAGCGGUGAAAUGACGUAGAUAUCCGGAGGAACACCUGUGGCGAAGGCGACCCCCUGGUUGGAUACUGACGCUGAGACGCGAAAGCGUGGGGAGCAAACAGG
rnacentral:rRNA from 1 species